UGCGCAGGCGGUUUGUUAAGUCAGAUGUGAAAGCCCCGGGCUUAACCUGGGAACUGGAUUUGAUACUGGCAAACUAGAGUGUGGUAGAGGGAAGUGGAAUUCCUCAUGUAGCGGUGAAAUGCGUAGAUAUGAGGAGGAACACCAGUGGCGAAGGCGACUUCCUGGACCAACACUGACGCUCAGGUACGAAAGCGUGGGUAGCAAACAGGAUUAGAUACCCUGGUAGUCC
rnacentral:rRNA from 1 species